rnacentral:rRNA from 1 species
GACGAACGCUGGCGGCGUGCCUAAUACAUGCAAGUAGAACGCUGAAGGAGGAGCUUGCUUCUCUGGAUGAGUUGCGAACGGGUGAGUAACGCGUAGGUAACCUGCCUGGUAGCGGGGGAUAACUAUUGGAAACGAUAGCUAAUACCGCAUAAUAGCAGUUGUUGCAUGACAACUGUUUGAAAGGUGCAAUUGCACCACUACCAGAUGGACCUGCGUUGUAUUAGCUAGUUGGUGGGGUAACGGCUCACCAAGGCGACGAUACAUAGCCGACCGGAGAGGGGGGCCGCCCACACGGGAAUUGGAACGGGGCCAAGAGUCCUCAGGGAGGCACCAGAAGGGAAUGUGAGGAAAGGGAGGGAAGUCUGACAGACCAAGGCCGCGGGGGAGAAAAAGUUUUUGGGGUCGUAAAGACUUUUUUUAGGGAAAAAACGGGUGUGGAGGGGGAAAAUUCACCCUUGGAGGGUAUUUUACAAGAAGGGCAGGGUUACUUAGGG